AUUGAACGCUGGCGGCAGGCUUAACACAUGCAAGUCGAGCGGAGCGAGGGUGCUUGCACCUUAUCUUAGCGGCGGACGGGUGAGUAAUGCUUAGGAAUCUGCCUAUUAGUGGGGGACAACAUUCCGAAAGGAAUGCUGAUACCGCAUACGUCCUACGGGAGAAAGCAGGGGAUCUUCGGACCUUGCGCUAAUAGAUGAGCCUAAGUCGGAGUAGCUAGUUGGUGGGGUAAAGGCCUACCAAGGCGACGAUCUGUAGCGGGUCUGGGAGGAUGAUCCGCCACACUGGGACUGAGACACGGCCCAGACUCCUACGGGAGGCAGCAGUGGGGAAUAUUGGACAAUGGGGGGAACCCUGAUCCAGCCAUGCCGCGUGUGUGAAGAAGGCCUUAUGGUUGUAAAGCACUUUAAGCGAGGAGGAGGCUACUGAGACUAAUACUCUUGGAUAGUGGACGUUACUCGCAGAAUAAGCACCGGCUAACUCUGUGCCAGCAGCCGCAGUAAAAC
rnacentral:rRNA from 1 species